AUAGCACGUCCUAAAACUUAUUCGAUACUUAAACUGAAAUAGUUAAAGUAUCGAAUAAGUUUUAGGACGUGCUAUUUAACAUUUUUCCAUUUCACAUUAUUCUAAAAUUUUCAGUUCAUUUUAUAAAUUCUUUCACUCAACAAUGAAGUUUCAAAUCGCCUUAAUUUUUGUUACACUUAUCUCCUCCAUUGUUAUGGAGGAAUUUUCAUUUUCUAAUUUAUUUGCCAGUUUUGGUAAAAUUUUAGAUGCCAAGCAAAAUUUCAUUAGAUCUUUGGUGUCUACAGUUACAUCGCAAUUUCGUUUGCCUCAGGAAGAGAUAAACCAGCUGAAAUUCAAUGGAUUGAAUGAUGACUUCCAAAAGGCACAAUCUAUUAUCAACGAUUUUAAGGAAAAAACAGAAAAUGUACUGAAAAGCAAUUCUCCAUUGUAAAGUUCACCUCUAGAAGCAAAACCUAAGAAGCCUUUACAAUCUACGGAUGCUAAUAUUAGCUAAAUUUCAAUUAUAUAUGUGACGUAGAUUAAGUGUAAAAAUUUAGCACCAAAAAUAAAGUGGAAAUUAAA